rnacentral:rRNA from 1 species
GACGAACGCUGGCGGCGUGCUUAACACAUGCAAGUCGAGCGGUAAGGCCCUUUCGGGGUACGACGAGCGGCGAACGGGUAGGAGUAACAACGUGGGUGGACCUCGCCCUCCAGCUCUGGGAGUAAGCCUGGGAAACCGGGUACGUAAUACCGGAUAUGACUCCAUGACGCAUGUUGUGGGGUGGAAAGACCUUGUGCGGCUGAGGAUGGGCCCGCGGCUAUCAGCUUGUUGGUGGGGUGAUGGCCUACCAAGGCGACGACGGGUAGCCGGCCUGAGAGGGCGACCGGCCACACUGGGACUGAGACACGGCCCAGACUCCUACGGGAGGCAGCAGUGGGGAAUCUUGCGCAAUGGGCGAAAGCCUGACGCAGCGACGCCGCGUGAGGGAUGACGGCCUGUGGUAACU